AUUGAACGCUGGCGGCAGGCCUAACACAUGCAAGUCGAACGGCAGCACAGUACUUGCUCCUGGUUUCGGCGGCCGACGGGCGGGUGGUGCCUGAAAAUCUGCGUAUCUAUGGGUUCGAAGGUGCGAAAGCAGGCAAUCAUACGCCAUAAGCCCAGACGACGUACGGGGGAAAGCAUCGGACCUUCCGACCUCACGUGAGUGAAUGAGGCGAUGUCGGAUUAGCUAGUUGGCGGGGUAAAGGCCUACCAAGGCGACGAUCCGUAGCUGGUCUGAGAGGAUGAUCAGUCACACUGGAACUGAGACACGGUCCAGACUCCUACGGGAGGCAGCAGUGGGGAAUAUUGGACAAUGGGCGAAAGCCUGAUCCAGCCAUGCCGCGUGUGUGAAGAAGGUCUUCGGAUUGUAAAGCCCUUUUGUUGGGGAAGAAGGGCAGUAAGUUAAUACCCUGCUGUUCUGACGGUACCAAAAGAAUAAGCACCGGCUAACUUCGUG
rnacentral:rRNA from 1 species